UUUUGCUGCCAGACAGAGAGUGUUUCCGGGAAAAGUAUGGCGUUGGGCGAAGUUAUAUUUCGUGUGCCGUUUCUGGUCCUUUUAGAGUGGUUCCUUUGCGUGGAUAUCACACAUUACAGUGACUGGACGCCUUAUGCAAGAUUAAUGCAGCUAUCGGGAAUCAUUUUAUGUUUGGUACUAUCCCUUCUUGGCCGAGAUGAACUCAUUAAUUUCUACAGCCACUCUCUUUUCAUUACUGUGGUGACAUUUAUGCUGUACUUGAAUGCAUACAACAGCUUAAAUCUGUACAAUGCCUUAGAGGAACAAGGUCUCUCAAAGUUGAUUACGGAAGAUGGUGCAAUAUUUCUGCUAUUAAUGAUAACUGGAGCUUGGAUGGUCUAUUUAAUAUCACUUGGAAUGUACUCACGGGUGUAUAACUCUUUGAAACCAGUUAUGUUUUCAAUGGCAGCGUUCCCUGUUAUGUUACGGCAUAUGUCAGCUUCAAAUCAGAAAGAUGAUCCACCCUUAUGGCUCUGCAUUUGCUUUGGUUUUGCGUUUUAUUUGGCUAUAACAGGCACCUAUCAGUGCAUUCAUGAUAUUGUCACGCAUUUUAUUACAUCAGCACAAAUUAUCCAGUGGAUGUACAGAAUGUAUGGGUUGACUGUCACUGUUGUGUUUCACUGGCGCAGAGUGAAAGUUCCGUUCUGUAUGAUGACUCUAUGGGGGAUAUUAUUUUUAUACAACAGUUUGAGUUUUUUGCUGUUCUCCAGUGAAUCAGUAACAGUUUUGCAGCUGUUUAAUUUAACAAUGGCCUUAACUUGCAACUCAGUUCUCUCAAUGACAUCAUGUUGUUUCAUAAUUUACAAGCUAUCUGGAUAUAUACUGAAUAUCAUCAAACGAUACCAUCAUGAGGAUAACAUUGCCCCCCCUGGUGACCCUUACAGCUCUCCUGAUGGUCUUAGAGAAGGUUUCGGAUUUUUCUUUCUUGGUCUUUACACUGGACUUUCAAGUUCAAAGAUAAGUAGAAAGCUUGUGCUUUUGGAAUUGAUUUUUUAUCUAAUCAUUUCAGCUUUAGCAAGAUCAAUGUUUGAAAUAACUGAACCUGUUCUCUUGGGGCUUGCAUCACAACCAAGCAUCAUCUACCGCAAACAUUUACGUGUUUUGUCAUUUUGCAUUUCACUCCUGGGAGCGUCUAUUUAUCUGGCGGUAAAUUUGUACUUUUUAAAAGAGAAAAUUCCUUUCAUUACUCCAAAUGUCAUUACCAUUGCUCAGAUAAUUGCUGCACUUGUAUUGUACUUCUUGUAUGUGUACGAGUCACGUCAAACUCAAAUAUGGGAAGAACUGGAUGACUAUGUGUACUUCAUCAAUGGCUCCUGUAAAGUUUUUGAAUUUGUGGUCAUCUCAGCCGUUCUUUUCUACAGAGUUUGUGACUUCAGUUUAGAGUGGACACUGUUUCAAAUUGUUAUGGCAGUGCUGCAUCUCUACUUUAAUAUCUGGACUCCUGCUAAGGAAGGUUGGCUAAGUUUAAAACAGCGUCAUCAGGUGAAUCAAAAACUGAACUCAUUGCCAUCAGCAACAGAGAAAGAAAUUGAUGAACUUGAAGAUGUUUGUUCAAUCUGUUUGGAGGAGUUGAAAGCUGCAAAAGUAACUCCUUGUAGACAUUAUUUUCACAGUUUAUGCCUUCGAAAAUGGUUAAAUGUCCAAGACAAAUGCCCCAUGUGCCAUACAGCUCUGCUAUCACUAUAAACAUAGAAACUUUCUCUCUGCAACUCUUUUAAGACAAGGCACAUUUUACAUCAAGUCUUUGUCACAUGCUAUACCCAGUAGUCACUGCAACUGAAGGCCUGGCACAUCAGUGAACAGUGUUAAGAGGGCCAAGACCUAACAGUGGAAGGACAUUUGUUUCAUUAAAUCAACCCCCCUAACCCUUUAACUCCCAGAAGUUAUUAACAUGUAACUUCUCCCUAUAAUAUCUAUACACUAUCCAGCCAACAGGUAAUGAGAAUACUCAAACUUAUCAAGUAGAAGUUUUUAACUCGAUCAAACACCAAAUUCUUGUAACUAUCCUGCAAGGAACUGUGUAACAGCCAGUGAAGAGAAUAAAGAAUCAGAUCCUGGGAGUCAAAGGGUUAAAGUGAAAGCCAGAGGCCCACUGAUUGUUUAAAACUGUGGUUUGGGUUAGACCUCAUGAAAA